rnacentral:piRNA from 1 species
UUGUUUUGACUUUUCAACUGCUUUGAGU